rnacentral:rRNA from 1 species
UACAGAGGGUGCAAGCGUUAAUCGGAAUUACUGGGCGUAAAGCGUGCGUAGACGGUUAUGUAAGUCAGGUGUGAAAGCCCCGGGCUCAACCUGGGAAUUGCAUUUGAGACUGCAUAGCUAGGGUGCGGAAGAGGGAAGCGGAAUUCCGGUGUAGCGGUGAAAGUGCGUAGAUAUCGGAAGGAACACCAGUGGCGAAAGCGGCUUCCUGGUCCAGCACCGACGUUCAGGCACGAAAGCGUGGGGAGCAAACAGG